ensembl:lncRNA
AUCACCUCUCAUCCGGCUGGUGCUUGAAUCACCCCAGAGACACAGCGAUACUCAAUGCAGUUUCAUCGCUGCCCUUCCCAAGCAGGGGCUGCUCCCUUCCCCCAGCUGUCUGCCCACACUUGCUGAGGGAGCACCGAGCCCUUUAACUCCAAUCACAAAUCCUGGAAAUGAUUAGCGGGCUGUCAUCACUCAGCCGCACCGGAUAUCGGGCACGGGGCAUUUCCGUCCCCUGUAAUUAAUGGUGUGCAGGGCUGCCUGGCUCUGUGGCAGGCAGGGGAGAUGCAAGCGAGCGGAGGGUGUCACGCCUCCCCCUCUCACCGCUCGGCUGGGAAAACCGCUGGACCAAAAAGCGGGGCAAAGAAUACAUUCAUUCAUGGCUAAAGGCAGCUUUUGUCCAUUAGAGAAAACCCACGGAGAGGAACCAUCCCCGUCUGGCUCUGGCGUCCAGGCGCAGGCGAGUGGCCAGGCAGCCGCUGGUGUGAUGCCUACGUAGCACCGCGCCAUGGAGACGGGACAGGGGAUUCCUGAGGUGACGGGGCUGCAGCGCGAGAGUGGAGCGGCACGGGAUGCUAAGGAGCUGAGGAACAGUUGGAGAAGGGACAGCUCUGGUGUGUGUCAUGAAGACGUCCUCUUAGCCUGCUGCAGUGAUGCUGACUUGAAUCCUUGCUCUGCAAGCCUGAGUAUGAAGUGCCUCUGGGCAGCAGUGUCCUGCCAACAUAGAGUUGCACCACGGUACAGAAUUUUCUAAUAUAUGUUGCCCACAACACCCUUAUCCCAUUUUCCUCUCCCUGUUCUGCUUUUGGACAACCCCUCGCCCUCCUCAAAGAUCACCCCUUGUUGUACUUAUUCUCAUGCUUUGCUGCUCCUGAUGCCACUGUGCCCAUCUUGUGUUGCUCUCCCCAGGCAGAGCGUAGUGUGCUGCCCUGCUUUACUCUGGCUGCUGGAGAACUGCAGCAGAAUGAAGCUCAAAGAGGAAAGAGGUGCAGCUCUUGCCACCUGGCAGGGGACCAGGAUGGGAUGGGCAGAAGGUCCUUGGUAACUCGCCAUCUUUGCAGGAGAUGGGUGGAUUUCAACUUUGUCUUGACAUGGAAGAGAGUAGGAAUGCUGUCAACUUUAGACAUCAGUUGUUUCAUCUGCAGGAUCACUGUUGGUUUGGGCCAGGUUCCCUGAAGUCCUUUGCAAAGCAUGUGUCCCAACUUAGGUCACCUGCUCAGCAGGCCCAUUGCUUUGCCCUGUGCUGGAUAGCUCUUGUUUCCCAGCCACAUGAGCCUGCUCACUGCUGCUGCCAUCCGCAGCAUGGUGGGAACAGCAUGCUGCCUCCCAGCCUUCAAAGGAAAGGUGGACCUGGAGCAAUUCCCCUGGGUUUGCUACACAGCGUGCCACCUCCCAUCCUGUCUGAGCAGCUUGUGGCUGCUGACCCAGGGCAAAGCAACCCGUGGCCUCAGGAAGUGAAAUGCAGUGUGGAAACCUCGCAGCUCACUAGAUCACAGUAUGUUCAAAGCAGGUCUAGCUUGCCGCCAGCUCUUGUGACAACUGUGCUUUUCAGUCUCUGUGAAGAAGAGGAACGAUCUAGAUAGUUUCUUCUCCCACCUGGUCCUGCUCUUGAGACUGCAAGCGCCGCAGAGCAGAGUUACAAGCAGACAGACACAGACCUUGGUCUGCUUUGUGAAAAUACUUCCACUGUUGCCAGAUUUGGUAAAACUCUUUCAUUUACAAAUUGCCCAUAAAGCACCUGAGAUCCUCUCAGAAUUCUUGCCAGCAUCUGCGAUGCUUUUGUGUAGAUCCAAACGGGAAAUGAUGAUCUUGGAAAAGCUCCUCGUGGUUCCAGAAUGGGUCCUGGGAACUUGGAGGGCAGUUACACUGCAGAACUCAGAUGUUCUCUUCUCACAAGUGCUACCCUUUGGAAGCCAAGGAGGGAUUCCUGGGGCCAGGAAGAGAGAGUGGAUGCCACCAAGUGGCAGCAGAAUCCCAAAUGUGGAGCUUAUGAGAAGUUCAGGCUCAUUGCUCAGGCUGAAAGAUGGUCUGGUCCUGCACAUGCAGAAUUUCAAGGAGGAAUUACCACCUGAGAACCCACAGGAAGGUGCUGUACCAGCACACCCUACCUUCUCCAAAGGCACCAUCCUCAAACUCAAUGGAGGUAAGAUUUAUUCCGCAGCUCAGCAGCCCCAGAAUUUACCACAGUAGCCGAUAUUUGUUAGAGAAUUGUAUUCCAGAACCAAAGAUCUAUUAUUCACACUGACAGCCUGAAGAACUGAAAACAAAGAAAGAACAAAGUCAAAUCAAGUAGCUUUGGACAUAAACGAUCCUGCCUCAAGGCAGAAGACAACUUCUAAGCAAGAGAGACAAUUUCUAAGGGAGGAACUCUUUUGGCAGGCACACUGUCCCACUGCUGAGGAGCUUCUUGCCUUUCUCACACAGCAACUAAGAGCAGCCUCCACAAAAUGCUGGGCUAGAUAGAGGCUUCAUUUGAGCCAGGCUGGCCGCUCUUAUCAUCUAUAUUUUCACUAUAAAAAAGAAAAAGAGAAAGAAAAAAGAAACAAAAAUACAUCUCUCUGGGAAUGAGGAAAGUCCUAAAUAUUUGAAGCUUCUACAGAAAGAUGCAACUGCAUUGUUUGUGGCCUGAAGUAUGCUGCAACAACAGGCUCUGAACUGUCAUUCCUAUCAAUAGGCCAUUAACUCUAAACUCAAUGGCAACUCAAACCUUAGUUUUCUUCACUGUUGGAUGUUGGCUGCAACUUUCAGCCAGAGAACAUGCUCACCCCCUAGGCUCUUUACUGCCCUGCUUGACACUUGCUCUCUCCUAGCCAUCAGGCUGCCAAUUUGUGCCUCCCCAACAGCCCUUCCAGGACAACACAUGCAACUGCAGCCUCCUGUAAAUACACCGCUGCCAGUGGGAAAUACAGCUGAGUAUCAAAAAUAACAGAAUGGGGGCUGGUUCUGUUACUUACUUCUUUCUUCCCACAAGUGCUGCACUUUAAUUUGAAGGUAGAUGCAACUAUGGACAAGUCUUGACUCGAACCCAAAUUGAGACUUCUGCCCUAGAGGUCCAGAUAGUCCCAAGGGCCCCAUUCACAAAGAACUGCAAUUAGACCUGCCUUAAGCAUCUUGUCUGUGAAAACUACUGAUAGAAGAAGGUUUUGCUGUCUUUGGUUGCUUGGCCCUGACCACUCUGUGUGGUUUCCCAGUUCUUCAAAUGGAGCUAAGCCGUCAGGUCAUGCAGGCGGCCUUCUGAGGCUGUGCUCAAUGGAGAACCCAGCAUCUGGCUGGUGUUUGGGAAGAGCGGGUCCAUGCCUCCUUGAGAAGAGCACAUAGGAGAAGUAGACUGGGAAAAAAUAGAGCUGAACUACUGCUGCUGCUUCAGUCUGUGCAUGUGCAGGGUAGAAUAAACUAUCACCUUGAAGGGCAGGAUGAGCUAUGGAAACCUGCAGCAUAGAGGAAAAAGAAGGACCUGGGAUCUGCAAUACCAUGGAGUGAGAAGAAAUGACUUGGACUUGCACAGGGCACGGAGUUGAGUUCAUACCAACAGUAUUUAUGUGGUAGAAAUGCAGCUAUACUCACACUGGGAGCAGCAGGCCUUGAUACACAGCACUAAGCAGUCAAAACAAAGAAAAAAGCAUUUCACAAUGUUGGUCUGGCCAGAUUUUGUAGGGAGCCUGGAGCUGCCCAGAGCGCUGUGCUUGCCAUGCUGCCCACCAGCUGCAUGGCCGCAGAGCGCAUCACCACAGUCACAAGGGAUGGCCACCUCAACUGGCUUAAACCGUGGCUGGACUCCAGCCCUGCUCUGUGCCACCCCUCCCAAGGGAAGAUCUCUGACCACCAUGCACAUUCCUCCUGUUGUCUCUUUCAUAAACCUCUGCUGAGCUGGGAGUAGAGCAGGGAAAGCGGUCAGUGGUGGUCAGAGUCCAAAAAGCAGCCAUGUUGCAGCCAUGCAGUGGAGAGCUCAGGGUGAUUCAUGCAUCUGGAUCUUUGGCCUGUUUUCAUAGAAUCACACACUCAUGGAGUCAUUUGAGUUGAAAAAGACCUUGGAGGACAGCUGGUCCAACUCCCCUGCAAUGAACAGGGACACCUACAGCGACAUCAGGGUUCUCAGAGCCCCGUCCAGCCUGACCUUGAGUGUCUCCAGGAACAGGGCAUCCACCACAUUUUGAUAUACACAACCAGCUGCUUGCUGGUGUUUGAUGGGAGGUGACUCUCACUUGGGGGAUGUGGCUGCCAGCCCAGAGAGGGGCACAGCUCCGGGUCCAAAUGAUGCCUUUCAGCCACGUCCAGCUCUCAUCGAUUCCUUCCCAGUGUCAGUGGAGAUAUGCAGCAAGGGCCUAGGUGGAGGGGCAGCAGAAAGUUCUUGCAGCCCCACCACACUCCAGCAAUCAAAGCCCAGCCUCUGUAAUUAAUACUAUUUAGCCCAGGUUAGUGGCAGAGGAAAAUGUCUCUUGUCAGCCUGGCUUUGCCCACUGGCCCUGAUUUAGCAACAUGAAAGCAUUUUUUCUGAUUAACUGCUCACUGAAGGAGAUAAAAGAGAUGACCAUGAAAUGUUUUCUUUAAUGUGAUGAAUGUAAAGGGACUGGUAGAGCUGGGAAGGGGGAGAGGAGAGGAGAGGAGAGAGAGUGCUCCCAUAGCAGAUGGGGGCUUUGGGGAAGGGGUGUGGGGCAGGAAUGGGUGAGCAUCCAGGAUAAAAGUGAAUAACUGAAACAUUUCUGGAAAGACUGCCUGAGAAAAUCUACAAUUGCUACCGAUAUACAUACAUAUAUAUAUAGAUGUAGUAUGAGAUUUGUGAAAGGAUUUGAUGAAGUCACAGCCUGAAUGCCAGAUUUCACUGCUCAUCUCUACUACUAAACUAAAAAAAAAUGUUGGUAGCUAGGAAACAAAGUGAAAUAGUAAAUCUCCAUUUCUAAUAUGGUGUGGCGAGGAUAUUCUGGGAAGAGUGCUGCUGCCACUAUGUUGUAAAGGCAUACCAGCAGCUUCAAACUCUACAUCUGAAAGCUAAACAUAGUUUCCUAGCAGCCCUUAAAGGGCAUUUUGGCAGUACGUCAUCCAAAGUGGCCUUCAGUGGCUCCUGAUGUACUUUUAACUAUGCACACUUGAUAGCUUAGAUUUUAAAAUUUUCUUAAAUUGGAAUAGGAAGUUGGGCUGACCUCCUGAAGAUUAAUUCCUGCUUCCAAUGUAUUAUCAAACAGCAACCGGGGACUCAGAUGGGUUCUUGCCAAAAAGAAAAAAACCCAGCAAUUUAGAAAAGAGAGGGAGAGUCCAAUGAGCACCUUCACUUGAGUUAGCUGUUGCACUUAUCUUUUCCCCAGAAAGCUUGAUGAGAAUGUGUUUUGCCAUAGUAUUUUUAUGUACUCCAUGACAGAAGGGAACAGUGCAUAGCAUAAAAUCAUUUUCAUAUACAGAAUCCUAUUGAAAGGCAGUUGGGCAAACUGGGAGACGAAAGCUCCGACAGAUAGCUGCUAUGUCAUACAGACUGACAGGUCUUGUGCAAGCCGACUGUGCCAAAAUGGGGGCAGCUUUGCAGGUCAGCAAGCCAUCACCUCCUCUUCCCAGGUGCUCAGUGGCAUGAUCAGGUGUGCACAAAGGCAGCGGCCGUGCUCAGCACCAGGUUGACAGGGCCACAAGCAGAUCAGAUGUCCUCUCCCUGAGCCCCCCUGGAUACCUCUCUGCUCCUCUCCCAGAGGUCACAGGAGAGACAGGAGAGGUCCCCGAGCAGGCAAUGGAAGCACUGAAAGGGAGGUGAGGCUUGAAUACAGAUAAGAGGAGUGAAAACUAAUUAUCUGGAAAAGCAAUGCGAUUGUGGGGUAUAAAAUAAUGACUGGAAAGUGCCUUUUAUUUACUGCAAGGCAAUAAUAGCAGAGGACAGUUGAUAACGCUGCCAGGGCGACAUUUUAGGGCUCUUUAAUCUAGCAGAAAGAGGCGUAACAAGCAGCAGGGACCGCAAUUUAAAGCGAGGUGAAUGUAAAUAAGAAAUGAGACACAUUGCAUGGGGCGUGCUGGCACACAUUGAAGGGAGUGGGGGGAGCCUGGGGCUCCUUAUGCCUUUGUGUCCAGGCUGGCUGCUUCUCUGGGAGAUGGACACAAAGUGCUGAGCUCAGAAUGGUGGCACAUUCGUUUCGCCCAGGGCUGAAGCACGGGGAAGCUCCUGGUCCCUAAGGCUGCCCAAAGCGCUGCCUAGCUCUGGCGUGAGCAGCAGUGUAAAUACUGCACAACGGGCAGGAAAAACACCUGCAGGUGAUGGUUAGGCAGUAAUGUUUUCCCAGAAGGCGGAAAAUCUGUCAGCCUGGGCUUUAUCAUUGUAAACAGUUUUUCUUUUAAAAGCAAACAAACAAACUGGUAAGAAGUCUCCUAGUAACAGGUGCUGAGCGCCGUGCUGCAGCCCGUAAGUCACAGCUGACUGUUUAUCCGACCACUAUUUAUAGCUGGUUAAACCUCUCCAUCCCAGCUUGUGUUUCCCACUUGCUGUAUCUUCCUAAUUGAUGUAUUUACUGUCAGUGCUUUAAUAAAACAGAACAAAUAUUGGAAUGAAAAAUACAUUGUCUGGCCCCGGUGCUGCUGAUGCGCUCUCUGCAGGGCCAGUGGUGAAGGCUGCCCUCAGCCCCAGAUGGCUUUAAUGCAGACAUUGCCACCCCUUGUCCCUUGACUGAUGGGGACAUCUCCAUUCCUGGAGGUGCUCAAGGUCAGGUUGGACGGGGCCCUGGGCAGCUGAGCUGGUGGGUGGCAGCCCUGCCCAUGGCAGGGGGUUGGAACUAGAUGGUCUUUGAGGUCCCUUCCAACCCAACCCAACCUAACACAAUCCAAGCCCUUCUAUGAUUCUAUGAUUCUGUGACAGGCAUAAUGGGAUCUAGGCUUGCACCAGUCUGAAGUGGAAAGUGUUCAGGAGGAAGGCAGCAGUGCUUUGGAGGAGCUAGGCUGGGACACGGGUGUUGCAAGUGAAUUGUGAAGAGACAACCCACAUCCCAGAGGGUAUCACCUCAUUCCCACUCCUCUGAAGAUGCCUUUCUGGCUCACCUUCCAGCAGCUGCAUGAGCUGAACACGCAGCCACCUUGCUGUGCCAGCUCUGCAUUUUCUUCAGCAGGCUUAGGUUUUCUUACGUAGGUGCAAGUUUAGGCAUCACAUGAUAGCCCCAAGCAGGCACCAGCCAUGCCUCUCCCUUAUGUUAAUUCACCUUCCUUGCCAAAGCAGCACAAGGUUCUGCAGCGCAGGGACAUAACCAAGCCCCUGCUUCAUACAGAGGUAAUUUUCUCUCUGCUAUGAACUGCACAGCCCUCUUUAGCCUUAAAAUCCAGAAGCUCAUCACACGCUCAGCCACUGCUUUUCCAAGAAGAGCACACACGGAAUCCUUCAAAAGUCCAGUUAUGACUACCUGCGUAUAAAAAUAAUGCAGCUGGUCUGAAAGAGAAGCUCAGGGUGUGCUUUGUUACUUUUAGGAGAUCUGCACUGGAAUCGCUUAUUAUGGUUUUUUAAAUUCUUGAUAGGUUUCAGACCGCUUCAUUUGCAGGGCUGCUAAUGUAACAAUAGGAUGUGACCGAAUAUUAGCAGCCUCAGGCACCGUCUGGUGAUUCACCAAAGCAUUUCACUUGCACCACAGCUGAUAUUUGUGUGUAUUUCAGUGUGCCAGAGUGGAACAUUCAAUAUUUGGAUCUUGAGUUCCUCCCAGACAGAAAGGCGCUUGGGAGGGGCUGCAGACUAUCUCUGGGCUCCUUCCUUUAAAAAAGAAAAAAAAAAAAAAGAGAUUUGAUUAAGUUAAUUAUAUAUUAAAUAAAGGAAAAAAAGAAGAGCAGAAAAACCAACUUACAAUCCAUCAGAAAAAAAAAAUAGAGGAAAAGCUUUCUGAGAGAAUGGCUGAAAGCAAUGGAUUCCUGCCAUCUUAGCUGUCUGAACUUCUCCUGCCAGCCAGGCUGUGAUUUACAUCUGUCCAUGAAACAAUGACUCUGAUGUGAAGCAGCCUUCUGCCAGGGAGAAGUUCACCCAGUGCAAAUAAGCCGAGCAAAAUCUACCCAUCCUUUUGCAGUGUUUCAGAUCGUUAGUUUAGUGGAAGGAAAAAUGGAAGAAAAGUGGGAUAUAUAUAUAUAUAUAUGUAUAUAUAUAUAUAUUCAUAUGGUAUUUUUGUUUUUUGGAAUUUGAUGUUUGCUUCAUGCCCCAGGGUGCCCCAGUUUCUGGCAUCGCCUUGGCAGAGGCAGCAGGACGUGGCCUGAGCCCUGCAGGAAGUGCAGGCAGCUCUUUCCAUAAGGCACUGCCCUGCAUUCCAGGCACUCUCACCUAAGCGUUUUUUAAUGCCAAAUACCUUUUCUGACAAGACUUACGGAGGGUCUUAAAGAGCCUUAUCAAAAAUCAGAUUGGAAGAUGGUCUUGCGGCCUUCCCGUCUGGUACAGAGGGGAGUGUAAUGAUGGAGGAGCAGUGUAACGAUGAUAGAAGGUUUAAUAGUUUAUAGGAUUACACAAACAUUUCGUUUUUUCCUAGGAGUGGGACUCAAAAAACAGUUUUUUGAGUUAAACGGAUCACCUCAUUCUACACUGUCUGCUGCUGUUUUUCAGCUCCAGUAAUACACAGCUGCAGCACUUUUGAUGUCUCUGUGAACUUGAAUGAAAGCAGAGAGCAUCUCCAUAAAUAUUUUCCUAACAGAACCUGCUGAAGUGGACUAGCUUAUGUACAGGAGGAGUCCUACAGGAAGGAUCCACACUUGGAUAUUCAGUCCAGCAUUAUGUUACCUAAUGCUGCUGACCUGUUCUGUGAUCCUAAAAAAACCUCUUUCUUUCCUCUCUGAUCCCAUCGCCCUUUUGUCUCCGUACUCAGCUGAUUCAGCCCCAUCUCCUUUGUUUGCAGGAGCAUUUGCACGGCUUGGUCAGAGCCUGAGCAGAGCGGUGCUGUGUGAAUAGUGUCUGUCACCUGCACAGAUGACCCUGGUGUGUGGUAGCAUGGUAUGCUUUAGUGUGUUGUGCAAGUUGGCAGCACAGAGGCUGAGAUAAGGCCUCACCUUUGGAUGCUGCUGCAGCUCUGGUCAUUGGAGCAGCACCUCAUCAGCACAGAUGGGUUCCCUGCUGGUGCCCAAGAUGGACAAAAUGUAAAACAGCUUAAAGGAAGAUUUGUUCAAUUCCAGUUUCAAAGUAGACAUGGGGGUGUUUCUGUUGGAAGAGGAACACCGGCAUGAUCUCCUGUAAAGCUUCAGUCACUUCUCCGAGCCUGGUAAGUCUGUUGGGAGCAGCAGAGCCAUCACUGGGUUGCAAUAUUGAAACUCCCUUCCCAUGUCUCUAUGCUUGGAACCUCAGAAUCAUAUUAUCAUUAGGACUGGAAAGACCAGUAAGCUCAUGUGGUCCAACCAUCAGCUCACGUCUUUGGCCGCUCUAUACCAUGUCCCUCAGUGCCUCAUCCACACAUUUCUUGAACACAUCCAUGGACAGUGACUCCACCACCUCCCUGGGCAGCCAGUGCCUCACUGCUCUUUCUGAGAAGAAAUUCUUCCUAAUAUCCAACCUGAAUCCAUUCUGGUGCAACUUGAAGCCAUUACCUCUUGCCCUAUUGCUGCUUAAUCCCUACAAUACCCCUACAGUCCUCCUCAAACCCUCUCUCUUUCUCUAUGCUGUCUUCCAGGCAGCUGAGCCUGUGCACAGUGCCUGGUCACCAGCUUAGCCACGUCCUCUUUGGUGCCCAUCGGCUCCUUCUGCCCUACUCCAUGAGCCUGGAGCUUGUGGACAAGAGCACUUUGCAUGUGAUGGGGCUGCUCUGAAGAGCAGUGCGUUGGGCAGACACAAUGUGUCCCAGAGGCCAGCAGGUCUCCAGGAGAGAGCGGAGGGAAUUCAUACAAAUGUCAUCUGAGUGGUGAAGGAAAGAAUAAGAGCAGAUGAUAAAGAAAGGCAGAUUUCUAAGGUUGGAUCAGCUGGAGCUGUAAAGACUCCCCAGCUGCACAACAGUCCCAUUCUGGAGUAUUUCAGCCUUCUGUGUAUCUAAACUACCUAGCUUUGGGCUGUUCUCUCUCAUGGAGCUCCUUGUAGUUGCUGGAUGGAAAACUUGGUUGUUUGCAGUUUUUUGUUGUAAGUUUAAUGGGGAUAAAAACCAUACAAAGAUAAUGAAGAUAAAAAUCCAGUGACAUCUGUUUGCACUUUAAAAAACUGCGUAAAAACUGAAAACAUGCAAAUAAACCUAGCAUUUGAUGAGUGAUGAGCAGUUUCCCCUCAGCCUCUAUGACAGUCUGGAGCUGCUAAUGACUAGACAGGAUGUAACUACAGCUAAGAGAAAGCCACAAGAAAAUAACUCUUGAUGAAUAAAGUCAAGUGCCGGCAUUCAGCCUCACUGGAGUCCUCAGACAGGUGGAAGCUGGCAACCCUGAGCAGCCCCUAUGUCUGUUGACUCUCCCAAGCCAUAGAACCAUAGAAUUGUUAAGGCUGGGAAAGACCACUAAGACCAUCUAGUCCAACCAUCAACCCAUCAAUCCAUGCAUAGUCCCUAAUGAUCCUGAUGCAGGAUCCACUCUGUCAGCGCCAGACCCUCUUGCUAUGCCCUGAAAAUGCAGGUGGUUCUUCAGACUAUCACCAUGAUGGCCAAAUUACCCAAGGGUGGAAGCAGGAUAUCAAAUGUGGGAUGCUGAGUUUCUCUUCAGGUGUGCCAAGCAGGGAAGCUUGGAAGGUUACGGAGGAUGUCCUAGCCGACUCCACAGCUGGGCUUGCAGCACCAGAGAAGAAAAUGAAAGGGAUAAGUGCUGGCAGCCCUGGAAAUACCCAUGUGGGAUGCAUCCCACCAGCAACAGAACCCCUGAGGAAGGUGUCAGGGCUGAGAGGGGCAAGUAUGGAGCCAACACAUCUGCCUUCAUCCUUUGUCGUGGGUGUUCUCUCCAGCUAAGCAGCUCAGUCCACAAGCAACCAAGACAGGCCCCGGAGCAGGAUAGCUCAUACCCUGCUGACGCAUAUGGUCAUUAUUUAGUGAUCCUGAGCCUUGCUGACUGCACGAAAAAUUACAGAAGUUGGCCUGAUGGUACAGAACUAACUUAAGGCAGACAGCACACCCCCUUCCCUGAAAGGGGAAACUCACUGAACUCCCUGGGAUGACUCUCAGAAGCCAGCAAUAAGAACGGGAAUAAAAAUUGCAUAACUUAGCACUGUUUGCAAUGGCCCAGUGCCUUCUAGCUAUCCAGGCCCCUUCUGAGUAUUGCUAAGUUCAGGAAUAGUGCUAAGAUAUCUGUUAUUCCACUGGAAUUCCCCACCCUUUAAAUUUUCUGCCACUUCUGUUGUUAUGAAGGAAGGGCAGGUGGCCCUAGCUGUUCCCUGUGAGACCAUUAGCACACUGGUAUUGAGGUUUCCUCUUACUCUUCUCCCUCCUAAUGUAACGUAUCCCAGCAUUUUCAGGGUAUUCAGAUAAGAACUAGCCCAGGGCCAUUCUCACCAUGUUAUCUUUCUGGGACCUACGGUGGUGGCUGCACACUGGGUAAUGUAAAGAUGUUGGGACCUCAACAGCAUUCUUUCCCAAGCCCUUUUACACUAUGCCCACAUCCUCCCCAGGCAUUUCUACAGAUAUCUUAGAACGCUGUGAAGUCCAUAAGUGCUUCAGGCUGCAUUAACAUGUGUUCAUCAUCCUGGGCUGUGUCCUGCAACUGGAAUCCCUCAUCACUGAGCAUCUCAGGUUGUCUCCUCAAGAGUCCUCAAGUUCCUUCUUGUCCAGCAGGUAUUUGCAUCACUUUCAUCCCCUUAUAUCUUCCUUAUCUAACUACACAUCCUUCUCGUAUCAUUGUGCAUCUUCCUUUCAUUAUUAUAGGUGGGCAAGAGUGUGUCAAGCUCCAGAUCUGAGAAAUCUGGGAGUGUUGGAGGGAUCUCAAGAAGAUAAAAAUACCAACUUGCCACCAAAUGCAACAAUACAGCUCUUCAGCAUUGCCUGGAUGAUGAGUGAACAGAAAUCCCUGCAGCCCUAAAUGCUCCCACCUGAUCAGUCCCCCAGAAGCUGCCUUUGCCUUCAGAACCUGAUGAAAGGGGACUUGAAGAGCUGGAUAUCUGUAUUUUUAGGGCAGCUUUUCAUGAGCCUACCGGCUCUUACCUCCUAGGCCAGCCUGUGGCAGAGAGAUCUCCUUCUGAGCUGUGGCCCUAAGGUAGCAGCUCCUCUGCUCUGCACCAGCACUGAGCCUCUGGGUUUUUUCCUGGUAGGAUGGGAGAGCCUAAAGCAGUUGUGUUAGAUCCUGCUGCCCAUCUGAUUGUAGAUAAAAGAAAAAAAAAACAGAAGAUAAAUGAGAAAAUGAGGAGAGCCAUCAUACUGCUUGGGUAGAGCUGGUAAAACCUCACUCCAGGAUAUUUGUUAAGGUCAGUGGAAUUUAAGCACUUUCUUGGAAAUUUGUGUAAGCGGUUCUGUGAGCAAAAGCUCCGGAGCAGGCUUGGGCAAGGCCUGGCAGGGCAAACGUGACUGCAGGCAGAAGCACUCUCUCUUUCCCUGGGAUGCAAACUCGCUAACCUCUGUGGGAUGGUGGGGACAACAUGAGGAAUGAGCACAUGGAUUGCAUAACACGCUAUGUCAGAAACUAGGCUUGAUGCUGAGCCAAUGUAAAUUUAAACCAAGUGCUACAUUAGGUCAGAUCAAAAGUCCACCUUGUUCAUUCUCCUGACUUUGACAACAACUACAAGCGUUGAGUUCAGGGGUACAGCAUAAAAGUCGGACCUUUGCAGAAUGAUCUUUCCCCACUAUGGGCCCCUAGCCUCAGAUGUGUCCGAAGACGGAGUUUUGGCUGGACCAUUGUGUUUAGCAGUGAGAGCCUUCUCCAGAAGCUCUCCUAGAGCCUUGUUGGAGCCAUGUGGGUAUGUUCUUCCCACACUGAGCUCCGCAGGGUGGUCAUGGGGCGGCCACGCGCAACGUGAAAGGAAUAGCGCUACCAAAUGGAUAGAGGGGCCUCAUGAAGGUGUGCCGCACAAAAUCCGGCCCCUGCCUUCCACUCACGCUUCUCAGCACUCACGCAGCGGAAGACUAAACACUGUUCUGUGCUUCUGGAGGAGUCCUGCAGACGGAGCAUACAGAAGGAGCUGAAGAAGCCCAAGUUUGAAAGAAGUUGCCGGUCAUUACCGCGCGAGGGAUGCCUCCACGGGAAUUCCACAAAGUGAUGUUAAUUGUGAUGCUUUGAAAAUGUUGUGUAAACAAGUGUUUCUGAGAUACAUAUGUUGCAAGUUAUUAUGCGGCCAUAAAAGAGCAAGGAAAGAAGAAACCGAAACACAAAAUGUUCUGUGACGCCAGAACGCACUUCUGGAGAGUAUCAGUUUGCAAACCGCAGUGUAAGUUUAUGCCCACAAUUCAAUUGACCUCCUGAAAGCAAAGGUAAACAGGAAUAGAAGGGCAGGCGUCUGCGGUUCCCUCUCUCCUCUGGAGAAAUAUAUUCUCUAUCAAGCUCUGUCCUGUUUCAUCGUGUUCUGUCAGCCUCUGAGCAGCUAAAACAGAACUAGUAGAGACCUACGCACUUAGGUGGGCUGGGAAUGGGGCCUGGGAGACACAGUUUGCCAUUAGGAGAGCGCUGAGCUCCCAAAUCUCAAGAGGGAACCCUACAGCCACCCUGAAAAACACACGAACGAAAACAAAAGGGUGGCUUAAGAAAGCAGCCUGCUCUGAGGGGCUGCGCUUUUGUGGUGGGAAUCAAACCUUUAGUGGGAGGGAAGGCAAGUCGUGGGAGGAACCUGCCCCCCAGGAGGAGAUAGAAUAAGUAAUCGUCAGGAAGGUAAGGCCAGGGGUUGGCUCAGCUCCACUGCUGGUUCCAGCUCAGCCUCUCCCAGCACAGCCCCUCUGCACGAUCCCCACAGUGGUAGGGUUACGGCGUGAUGAACAGGCAGCCAUGCACUGGGAGCCUGUUUUCCAACCUGGAGAGAGGGAGCAGCAAGGUACAUCUGCCAUUUCUGAGCUCCUUCCCCAUGCAGAGAUGCCUGAAAUUCCUCACAUUAAGAAGCCAGACUGCUUUGAUCUCCUGGAUGCAGCCAAGGAGGGAAGAACUUCUGUCUCCUGAUGGAGCAUCUUCCUCUCUGUCAACCUCCUGCAGCCCAACAUUUGGCCCCACUGACAACCAUUUCCCUUAAUGAGCAGUGACUGCCUUACCUCCCCUGAGCCUUGUGAGGAUUAAGGAGUUAAUUGCUUCGGAAAUGUACAACAAGAGACUAAUAAUAAUACUAGGAGUGGCACAAACAUUUCACAACGAGCAGCCUGUCAGACGCAGCCUUCUCCUUCUCCUUGCUCAGCGCUCGCUGAGAGGUGGCACUCUCCUUGUGUUGGUUUGUUGGUUUAAUAGACACAAAAAUCUUGUCUUUGUGUGUGUGUGUGCGUGUGUUCUGCUGUGUCCUGUGACUUGACAGCAAAUAUUUGAAAUUCUGUACGUGUUAGUGGGAGG